GCUGGGCACGGUGGCGCGCGCCUGUAGUCCCAGCUACUCGGGAGGCUGAGGCUGAAGGAUCGCUUGAGCCCAGGAGUUCUGGGCUGCAGUGUGCUAUGUGGGUCGGGUGUCUGCACUAAGUUCGGCAUCAAUACGGUGACCCUCCGGGAGCGGGGGACCACCAGGUUGCCUAAGGAAGGGUGAACCGGCCCAGGUCAGAAACGGAGCAGGUCAAAACUCCCUUGCUGAUCAGUAGUGUGAUCGCACCUGUGAAUAGCCGCUGUACUCCAGCCUGUGCAACAUAGGGAGACCCCCUCUCUA
ensembl:misc_RNA Metazoa_SRP Metazoan signal recognition particle RNA